UACGUAGGGGGCAAGCGUUGUCCGGAUUUAUUGGGCGUAAAGAGCGUGUAGGCGGCCAUACAGGUCAGCUGUGAAAACUCGAGGCUCAACCUCGAGACGUCGGUUGAAACCGUAUGGCUAGAGUCCGGAAGAGGAGAGUGGAAUUCCCGGUGUAGCGGUGAAAUGCGCAGAUAUCGGGAAGAACACCCGUGGCGAAGGCGGCUCUCUGGGACGGUACUGACGCUGAGACGCGAAAGCGCGGGGAGCAAACAGG
rnacentral:rRNA from 1 species